UUUGAUUGUUGCUCAGAAAGCCAUCUCUAAAAAGCGUGGCUAUCGAGCAACAAUCAAAGA
rnacentral:pre_miRNA from 1 species